GUCACCACGUUGUCCCCAACUUGUCACCAUCUUGUCUCAAAACUGUCCCCAACUUGUCACCAUGUUGUCAUGACAUUGUCCCCAACUUGUCACCAUGUUGUCCCCAUCUUGUCGCAAAACUGUCCCCAACUUGUCACCUCUUUGUCCCCAACUUGUCACCGUGUUGUCACAACAUUGUCCCCAUCUUGCCACCAUGCUGCCCCCAUCUUGUCUCAAAGUUGUCCCCAACUUGUCACCAUCGUGUCACCAAGUUGUCACCACAUUGCCACCGUCUUGUCACCACGUUGUCCCCAAACUGUCACCACUCUGUCCCCAACUUGUCACCACUCUGUCCCCAACUUGUCCCCAUCUUGUCACCGUGUUACCGCCAUCUUGUCUCCAAUUUGUCCCCAGUUUGUCACCAUGUUGUCCCCAACUUGUCCCCAUCUUAUCUCAAAGUUGUCCCCAACUUGCCACCAUGUUGUCCCCAUCUUGUCUCAAAACUGUCCCCAACUUGUCACCGUGUUGCCACCACAUUGUCCCCAUCUUGCCAUCCAUUUGUCCCCAACUUGUCACCACAUUGUCCCCAUCUUGCCACCAUGCUGCCACCAUCUUGUCUCAAGGUUGUCCCCAACUUGUCACCACUCUGUCCCCAACUUGUCCCCAUCUUGUCACCGUGUUACCGCCAUCUUGUCUCCAAGCUGUCCCCAAUUUGUCACCACUUUGUCCCCAAUUUGUCACCAUGUUGUCACCACAUUGUCACCAUCUUGCCGCCAUCUUGUCUCAAAGUUGCCCCCAAUUUGUCACCACGUUGUCCCCAACUUGUCACCACGUUGCCGCCAUCUUGUCUCAAAGUUGUCCCCAACUUGUCACCAUCGUGUCACCACGUUGUCCCCAACUUGUCACCACAUCAUCCCAUCUUGUCACCAUGUUGCCGCCAUCUUGUCUCAAAAUUGUCCCCAACUUGUCACCAUGUUGCCGCCAUCUUGUCACCAUCUUAUCUCAAAACUGUCCCCAUCUUGUCACCAAGUUGUCCCCAUCUUGUCACCACGUUGCCGCCAUCUUGUCUCAGAGCUGUCCCCAACUUGUCCCCACGCUCUCCUGGCGUCACCGCGUUGCCACCAUCACACCUCCACGUUGUCCCCAACUUGUCACCUCCUCUUCUCACCGCAUCCCGGUGUCACCGCCGUGUCCCGGAGUUGUCACCGUGUUGUCACCAUCGUGUCACCGCGUUGUCAGCCAGGGGUUGGGGUGGACAGGGACAUGGGGACACGGGGGAGGGGGGACGUGGGGACAUCGGGGACAAUGGGGACAUUGGGGAGGGUUGGGGACACUGGAGAUGGGUUGGGGACAUUGGAGGGUUGGGGACAUUGGGGACAAUGGGGUGUUGGGGACAUUGGGGACAUUGGGGUUGGGAUGUUGGGGUCACCAUGGUUGGGACAUUGGGGACAUUGGGGCCACCGUAGUUGGGACACUGGGGACACUGGGGACAUUGGGGACAUUGGGGACAUUGGGGUGGGGAUGCUGGGGACUUUGGAGACUUUGGGGAGAUUGGGGUUGGGAUGUUGGUGACUUUGGGGACAUGGUUGUCCCGACGAAUCUGGGGCCGCUGUCUUUGAGAUAUUGGGGGCCAUUGGGGCCAUCAGACCCGGAUGUUGGGGACAUGGUUGUCCCCACGUCCCCAGCUGGGGUCCCCCACGGCGCUGGCCGACCCCGAGACGGAGCAGAGGCUGCGAGGGGCGGCGCUGAGGGGGGGUCACACCCUCUAUGUCCCCCGUGGGGCCCUGUGGGGUUGCGAGGACAUCCGGCGCAUGGAUGACAGCGGGGCGCUGGCCGUGAGCAUUUGGGGACAACGGUGACAUUGGACACAGCGGGGUUGGGGACGUUGUGGGGGUUGGGGACACCGUUGAGGUUGGGGAAGGCGGGGGGUUGAGGGCACCGAGGGGGCAGAGUGCGGUCUGGGGACACCGUGGGGUUGGGGACAGCAUAGAGGUUGGGGACACCGAGGGGACACCAUGGGGUUGGGGACACCAAGGAGACACUGUGGGGUUGGGGACAGC
rnacentral:lncRNA from 1 species